rnacentral:rRNA from 1 species
UUGUCUCAAAGAUUAAGCCAUGCAUGUCUCAGUACAAGCCGAAUUAAGGUGAAACCGCGAAAGGCUCAUUAAAUCAGUUAUGGUUCCUUAGAUCGUACCCACAUUUACUUGGAUAACUGUGGUAAUUCUAGAGCUAAUACAUGCAAACAGAGCUCCGACCGGAGACGGAAGGAGUGCUUUUAUUAGAUCAAAGCCAAUCGGCGUCGGGCGCGUUCGCGCGUCCGUUCGUCGCUCAACCUGGUGACUCUGAAUAACUUUCGGCUGAUCGCACGGUCUCGCACCGGCGACGCAUCUUUCAAAUGUCUGCCUUAUCAACUGUCGAUGGUAGGUUCUGCGCCUACCAUGGUCGUAACGGGUAACGGGGAAUCAGGGUUCGAUUCCGGAGAGGGAGCCUGAGAAACGGCUACCACAUCCAAGGAAGGCAGCAGGCGCGCAAAUUACCCACUCCCGGCACGGGGAGGUAGUGACGAAAAAUAACGAUACGGGACUCAUCCGAGGCCCCGUAAUCGGAAUGAGUACACUUUAAAUCCUUUAACGAGGAUCAAUUGGAGGGCAAGUCUGGUGCCAGCAGCCGCGGUAAUUCCAGCUCCAAUAGCGUA